rnacentral:rRNA from 2 species
UGAUUGGUGCUUGCAUCAUGAUUUACAUUUGAGUGAGUGGCGAACUGGUGAGUAACACGUGGGAAACCUGCCCAGAAGCGGGGGAUAACACCUGGAAACAGAUGCUAAUACCGCAUAACAACUUGGACCGCAUGGUCCGAGUUUGAAAGAUGGCUUCGGCUAUCACUUUUGGAUGGUCCCGCGGCGUAUUAGCUAGAUGGUGGGGUAACGGCUCACCAUGGCAAUGAUACGUAGCCGACCUGAGAGGGUAAUCGGCCACAUUGGGACUGAGACACGGCCCAAACUCCUACGGGAGGCAGCAGUAGGGAAUCUUCCACAAUGGACGAAAGUCUGAUGGAGCAACGCCGCGUGAGUGAAGAAGGGUUUCGGCUCGUAAAACUCUGUUGUUAAAGAAGAACAUAUCUGAGAGUAACUGUUCAGGUAUUGACGGUAUUUAACCAGAAAGCCACGGCUAACUACGUGCCAGCAGCCGCGGUAAUACGUAGGUGGCAAGCGUUGUCCGGAUUUAUUGGGCGUAAAGCGAGCGCAGGCGGUUUUUUAAGUCUGAUGUGAAAGCCUUCGGCUCAACCGAAGAAGUGCAUCGGAAACUGGGAAACUUGAGUGCAGAAGAGGACAGUGGAACUCCAUGUGUAGCGGUGAAAUGCGUAGAUAUAUGGAAGAACACCAGUGGCGAAGGCGGCUGUCUGGUCUGUAACUGACGCUGAGGCUCGAAAGUAUGGGUAGCAAACAGGAUUAGAUACCCUGGUAGUCCAUACCGUAAACGAUGAAUGCUAAGUGUUGGAGGGUUUCCGCCCUUCAGUGCUGCAGCUAACGCAUUAAGCAUUCCGCCUGGGGAGUACGGCCGCAAGGCUGAAACUCAAAGGAAUUGACGGGGGCCCGCACAAGCGGUGGAGCAUGUGGUUUAAUUCGAAGCUACGCGAAGAACCUUACCAGGUCUUGACAUACUAUGCAAAUCUAAGAGAUUAGACGUUCCCUUCGGGGACAUGGAUACAGGUGGUGCAUGGUUGUCGUCAGCUCGUGUCGUGAGAUGUUGGGUUAAGUCCCGCAACGAGCGCAACCCUUAUUAUCAGUUGCCAGCAUUAAGUUGGGCACUCUGGUGAGACUGCCGGUGACAAACCGGAGGAAGGUGGGGAUGACGUCAAAUCAUCAUGCCCCUUAUGACCUGGGCUACACACGUGCUACAAUGGAUGGUACAACGAGUUGCGAACUCGCGAGAGUAAGCUAAUCUCUUAAAGCCAUUCUCAGUUCGGAUUGUAGGCUGCAACUCGCCUACAUGAAGUCGGAAUCGUU